rnacentral:rRNA from 1 species
CAGUAGCCGCGGUAAUACGUAGGGUGCGAGCGUUGUCCGGAAUUAUUGGGCGUAAAGAGCUUGUAGGCGGUUUGUCGCGUCUGCUGUGAAAUCCCGAGGUUGAGCCUCGGGCGUGCAGUGGGUACGGGCAGACUAGAGUGCGGUAGGGGAGAAUGGAACUCCUGGUGUAGCGGUGGAAUGCGCAGAUAUCAGGAAGAACACCGAUGGCGAAGGCAGUUCUCUGGGCCGUAACUGACGCUGAGAAGCGAUAGCGUGGGGAGCGAACAGGAUUAGAUACCCCUGUAGUCCCUGUCUCUUAUAC